AACACGUGGAUAACCUGCCCUAAGGUCCGGCAUAACCCCGGGAAACUGGGGAUAAUUCCGGAUAAACCAUAGAUACUGGAAUGUUCUUUGGUUAAAAGCUCCGGUGCCUUAGGAUGGAUCUGCGGCCUAUCAGGUAGUAGUGGGUGUAAUGUACCUACUAGCCGACGACGGGUACGGGUUGUGAGAGCAAGAGCCCGGAGAUGGAUUCUGAGACAUGAAUCCAGGCCCUACGGGGCGCAGCAGGCGCGAAAACUUUACAAUGCGGGAAACCGCGAUAAGGGGACACCGAGUGCCAGCAUAUUAUGUUGGCUGUCCGCAUGUAUAAAUAACAUGUGUUAGCAAGGGCCGGGCAAGACCGGUGCCAGCCGCCGCGGUAACACCGGCGGCCCGAGUGGUAGCCGCUAUUAUUGGGUCUAAAGGGUCCGUAGCCGGUUUGAUCAGUCUUCCGGGAAAUCUGACAGCUUAACUGUUAGGCUUCCGGGGGAUACUGUCAGACUUGGAACCGGGAGAGGGUAGAGGUACUACA
rnacentral:rRNA from 1 species